UGUAAGCGUAUACCAAAGUUGUUGCAGUUAAAACGCUCGUAGUCGGAAUUUGGCAGUUCCGGAUGUGUGCACGUCGUGUGCGCACUUCGCGGGGAUUGCUUUUGUGGUCUUGCGUAGGAUGAGGCACUUUUAUUAGUGAACGUCCUCACGCAACCACUUUUUACUGUGAGAAAAUCAGAGUGCUCAAAGCAGGCAUUUGCCGUGAAUGUAUUAGCAUGGAAUAAUAGAAUAGGACUUGGUUCUAUUUUGUUGGUUUGUUGGGACUGAGUAAUGAUUAAGAGGGACAGUUGGGGGCAUUUGUAUUUCGGUGCUAGAGGUGAAAUUCUUAGAUUACCGAAAGACAAACUGCUGCGAAAGCGUCUGCCAAGUAUGUUUUCAUUGA
rnacentral:rRNA from 1 species